rnacentral:rRNA from 1 species
CAGUAGCCACGGUAAUACGAAGGGUGCAAGCGUUACUCGGAGUUACUGGGCGUAAAGCGUGCGUAGGUGGUGGUUUAAGUCCGUUGUGAAAGCCCUGGGCUCAACCUGGGAAUUGCAGUGGAUACUGGGUCACUAGAGUGUGGUAGAGGAUAGUGGAAUUUCCGGUGUAGCAGUGAAAUGCGUAGAGAUCGGAAGGAACAUCUGUGGCGAAGGCGACUAUCUGGGCCAACACUGACACUGAGGCACGAAAGCGUGGGGAGCAAACAGGAUUAGAUACCCCAGUAGUCCCUGUCUCUUAUAC